AGAGUUUGAUCCUGGCUCAGGAUGAACGCUGGCGGCGUGCCUAAUACAUGCAAGUCGAACGAGGUCUUCGGACCUAGUGGCGAACGGGUGAGUAACACGUUGGUACCUGCCUCGAAGUGGGGAAUAACUGGCCGAAAGGUCGGCUAAUACCGCAUGUGACCGCAAGGUUAAAGCAGUAAUGCGCUUCGAGAGGGGCCUGCGUCUGAUUAGCUAGUUGGUGGGGUAACUGCCCACCAAGGCGACGAUCAGUAGCUGGAUCGAGAGGUUGACCAGCCACACUGGGACUGAGAUACGGCCCAGACUCCUACGGGAGGCAGCAGUAAGGAAUCUUCCACAAUGGACGAAAGUCUGAUGGAGCAACGCCGCGUGCAGGAUGACGGUCUUCGGAUUGUAAACUGCUUUUAUACGGGAAGAUUAUGACGGUACCGUAUGAAUAAGGACCGGCUAACUACGUGCCAGCAGCCGCGGUAAUACGUAGGGUCCAAGCGUUAUCCGGAAUCACUGGGCGUAAAGCGUGCGUAGGUGGCGCGUUAAGUGAGAUGUUAAAUCGUGUGGCUC
rnacentral:rRNA from 1 species